UACGGAGGGUGCAAGCGUUAAUCGGAAUUACUGGGCGUAAAGCGUGCGUAGGCGGCUUGUUAAGUCAGAUGUGAAGGCCCCGGGCUCAACCUGGGAACUGCAUUUGAAACUGGCAGGCUAGAGUUUGGGAGAGGGGAGUGGAAUUUCAGGUGUAGCGGUGAAAUGCGUAGAGAUCUGAAGGAACACCAGUGGCGAAGGCGACUCCCUGGCCCAAAACUGACGCUGAGGUACGAAAGCGUGGGUAGCAAACAGG
rnacentral:rRNA from 1 species